CAGGCUUAACACAUGCAAGUCGAACGCCCCGCAAGGGGAGUGGCAGACGGGUGAGUAACGCGUGGGAACAUACCCUUUCCUGCGGAAUAGCUCCGGGAAACUGGAAUUAAUACCGCAUACGCCCUACGGGGGGAAGAUUUAUCGGGGGAGGAUUGGCCCGCGUUGGAUUAGCUAGUUGGUGGGGUAAAGGCCUACCAAGGCGACGAUCCAUAGCUGGUCUGAGAGGAUGAUCAGCCACAUUGGGACUGAGACACGGCCCA
rnacentral:rRNA from 1 species